rnacentral:rRNA from 1 species
CCUACGGGUGGCAGCAGUGGGGAAUUUUGGACAAUGGGGGCAACCCUGAUCCAGCCAUGCCGCGUGCGGGAAGAAGGCCUUCGGGUUGUAAACCGCUUUUGGCCGGGAAGAAAAGGCCACUCCUAAUACGGGUGGUUCUUGACGGUACCGGCAGAAUCAGCACCGGCUAACUACGUGCCAGCAGCCGCGGUAAUACGUAGGGUGCGAGCGUUAAUCGGAAUUACUGGGCGUAAAGCGUGCGUAGGCGGUUCGUUGUGUCUGUGGUGAAAGCCCCGGGCUUAACCUGGGAACGGCCAUGGAAACUGGCGAGCUGGAGUGUGGCAGAGGAGGGUGGAAUUCCGCGUGUAGCAGUGAAAUGCGUAGAGAUGCGGAGGAACACCGAUGGCGAAGGCAGCCCUCUGGGCUAACACUGACGCUGAGGCACGAAAGCGUGGGGAGCAAACAGGAUUAGAUACCCCUGUAGUC